UUACGGUCACAUCAAAUUGAAACGCCGGUUUACUUACGAUCACCGAAGUUAAGCAAUGUUGAGCUUGGUAAGUACCUAGAUGAGUGACCGGUUGGGAAUACCAGGUGUUA